AAUCUUGCACACUGCGCGAAAGCGUGAUGCAGCAAUGCCGCGUGUGGGAAGAAGGGCUUCGGCUCGUAAACCACUUUCAGUUGGGACGAAGCUCUCGCGGUGAAUAGCCGUGUGGAGUGACGGUACCUUCACAAGAAGCCCCGGCUAACUACGUGCCAGCAGCCGCGGUAAUACGUAGGGGGCAAGCGUUGUCCGGAAUCAUUGGGCGUAAAGAGCGUGUAGGCGGUUCGAUAAGUCUGUUGUGAAAGUCCAAGGCUCAACCUUGGGAUGCCGAUGGAUACUGUCGAACUCGAGUCCGGAAGAGGAGUGUGGAAUUCCUGGUGUAGCGGUGAAAUGCGCAGAUAUCAGGAGGAACACCGAUGGCGAAGGCAGCACUCUGGGACGUGACUGACGCUGAGACGCGAAAGCGUGGGGAGCAAAC
rnacentral:rRNA from 1 species